UUUAUGGAGAGUUUGAUCUUGGCUCAGGACGAACGCUGGCGGCGUGCCUAAUACAUGCAAGUCGAGCGCGGGAAGCAAGCUGAUCCUCUUCGGAGGUGACGCUUGUGGAACGAGCGGCGGACGGGUGAGUAACACGUGGGCAACCUGCCUGUAAGACUGGGAUAACCCCGGGAAACCGGGGCUAAUACCGGAUAAUACUUUUCAUCACCUGAUGAGAAGUUGAAAGGUGGCUUUUAGCUACCACUUACAGAUGGGCCCGCGGCGCAUUAGCUAGUUGGUGAGGUAACGGCUCACCAAGGCAACGAUGCGUAGCCGACCUGAGAGGGUGAUCGGCCACACUGGG
rnacentral:rRNA from 1 species